rnacentral:misc_RNA from 1 species
UGUUGAAUGAGGCUUGUGGUGGCUUACUUAAGCCCAAGUUUUACGUUGGAUGAUCUUAGGAUCAACUAGGUUUAGAUUGUUUUUAUUAUGCAGGUUUAAUGUUCUGAUGGUUUUUCUGUUGGUCACUNNNNNNUAUCUGUUAUGUAGCAGAAUUUCCAAGACCCAAACCUGCAGAAUAAGAAUAAAGAGAAGGGAAUAACAAUAGAGGAAGGAUAUUGAGAAAGAAGGGAUGAGGAAGGGAG